UACAUGUGGGGCAAGCGUUGUUCGGAAUUACUGGGCAUAAAGGGUGCGUAGGCGGCAUGUUAAGUCAGUGGUGAAAUCCGGUGGCCCAACCAUCGAACUGCCAUUGAUACUGGCGUGCUUGAGUGCGUGAGGGGUGACCGGAACGAGUGGUGUAGCGGCGAAAUGCGUAGAUAUCACUCGGAAGGCCAACGGCGAAGGCAGGUCACUGGUGCGCAACUGACGCUGAGGCACGAAAGCGUGGGGAGCAAACAGG
rnacentral:rRNA from 1 species